rnacentral:tRNA from 1 species
GAGGGUAUAGCUCAAACUGGUAGAGCGCAUGCUUUGCAUGCACGAGGUCAUGGGUUCAUUCCCCAGUAACUCCU